AUACCGCGUGAGGGAAGAAGGCCUAUGGGUUGUAAACCUCUUUUUUCAGGGAAGGAACAAAAUGACGUGUACCUGAAGAAUAAGCAUCGGCUAACUCCGUGCCAGCAGCCGCGGUAAGACGGAGGAUGCAAGUGUUAUCCGGAAUUACUGGGCGUAAAGCGUCUGUAGGUGGUUUAAUAAGUCAACUGUUAAAUCUUGAAGCUUAACUUCAAAACAGCAGUCGAAACUAUUAAACUAGAGUAUAGUAGAGGUAAAGGGAAUUCCAGUGGAGCGGUGAAAUGCGUAGAUAUUGGAAAGAACACCGAUGGCGAAAGCACUUUACUGGGCUAUUACUAACACUCAGAGACGAAAGUUAGGGUAGCAAAUGGGAUUAGAUACCCCAGUAGUCCUAGCUGUAAACAAUGGAUACUAGAUGUUGAACAGAUCGACCUGUGCAGUAUUAAAGCUAACGCGUUAAGUAUCCCGCCUGGGAAGUAUGCUCGCAAGAGUGAAACACAAAGGAAUUGACGGGGGCCCGCACAAGCGGUGGAGCAUGUGGUUUAAUUCGAUGCAACGCGAAGAACCUUACC
rnacentral:rRNA from 1 species